UACGAGGGGGGCGAGCGUUGUUCGGAAUUAUUGGGCGUAAAGGGCGCGUAGGCGGUGCGGUAAGUCACCUGUGAAACCUCUAGGCUUAACCUAGAGCCUGCAGGCGAAACUGCCGUGCUGGAGUGUGGGAGAGGUGCGUGGAAUUCCCGGUGUAGCGGUGAAAUGCGCAGAUAUCAGGAGGAACACCAAUGGCGAAGGCAGCUCGCUGGGACGGUACUGACGCUGAGGCGCGAAAGCGUGGGGAGCAAACAGG
rnacentral:rRNA from 1 species